rnacentral:rRNA from 1 species
AUACGGAGGAUGCGAGCGUUAUCCGGAUUUAUUGGGUUUAAAGGGAGCGUAGGUGGGAUAUUAAGUCAGCUGUGAAAGUUUGGGGCUCAACCUUAAAAUUGCAGUUGAUACUGGUUUCCUUGAGUACGGUACAGGUGGGCGGAAUUCGUGGUGUAGCGGUGAAAUGCUCAGAUAUCACGAAGAACUCCGAUCGCGAAGGCAGCUCACCGGGCCGGAACUGACACUGAUGCUCGAAAGUGCGGGUAUCAAACAGGAUUAGAUACCCUGGUAGUCCGCACAGUAAACGAUGAAUACUCGCUGUUUGCGAUACACGGUAAGCGGCCAAGCGAAAGCGUUAAGUAUUCCACCUGGGGAGUACGCCGGCAACGGUGAAACUUAAAGGAAUUGGCGGGG